rnacentral:rRNA from 1 species
AGUGAACGCUGGCGGUAGGCCUAACACAUGCAAGUCGAACGGCAGCACAGUAAGAGCUUGCUCUUACGGGUGGCGAGUGGCGGACGGGUGAGGAAUACAUCGGAUUCUACUUUUUCGUGGGGGAUAACGUAGGGAAACUUACGCUAAUACCGCAUACGACCUACGGGUGAAAGCAGGGGAUCUUCGGACCUUGCGCGAUUGAAUGAGCCGAUGUCGGAUUAGCGAGUUGGCGGGGUAAAGGCCCACCAAGGCGACGAUCCGUAGCUGGUCUGAGAGGAUGAUCAGCCACACUGGAACUGAGACACGGUCCAGACUCCUACGGGAGGCAGCAGUGGGGAAUAUUGGACAAUGGGCGCAAGCCUGAUCCAGCCAUACCGCGUGGGUGAAGAAGGCCUUCGGGUUGUAAAGCCCUUUUGUUGGGAAAGAAAAGCAGCAGGUUAAUACCCCGCUGUUCUGACGGUACCCAAAGAAUAAGCACCGGCUAACUUCGUG